AUUAAAAAAAAUCAAAUCACUGACGAAACCAACAAACUGGGAAAAAGCGCUUAUACAAGAACCAAACACCAAGCUGACAACCGCUUAUACGACGAAUCCAAGCAAGCUUCACGAUGGCAUUUCAACACUCUCACGGCCUUGCAAUUUGAAGCUCCAAUGAUCAGCAUCGUAGAUUUGCCUCCAAUCUUUAACGCGCCGUAUUCGGAAUCGUUGCGUUCAACCUUCAGCUUAUGGUUCGCAUUGUUCCAUCGUCAUUAAUUCGAAGAUUCAAGUCUCAAUUCCACACUCUUUGCUACCAUGUGCGCAAAGCGAAAAAGACAAUGUCGAAAACUAAUCGAGCAACUCACUGGAUUCUUGUUAUCAGUUCUUCUUCCGUUUCGCUUUCUCUACGCCGAAAACGAGCUCUCCGAUCAGUUUGUGUUUAUAAGUAGAUGUAGAUGCGAGGAUAGAUAGUGCCAAAUCAAGAUUGACUCAACUUCACGCGUAGGAUUAAAGAGAAACAAGAUUGAAUCUAGAGGACUUACCGAACUGAAGCUCUAAUUGAAACAGAAAUGAUCGAAUACAUAUACAGGAAAACUUGCUCCUUCCUUCUGCAGGACUUGUACGGUGGCGAAAUUGGAGGAUUAUGUUGGAAGAUAAAAGCCUUUGCUUGGAUUGGUCUAGGGGCUAACUUGUGGAGUGUUGUUGUCAAUUGUUGUUUGAAGUGCAGGUUGAAGGGAGUGGCCUUGUUGCACUACUGUGGCAUUGGGUCGUUGCAUUGUGAUGCAAUGGGUGGAUUGCAAUUGGUCAUGGCAUGGAUGCAUUUCAAGGCUUAGGUUGUUGUGAGGUUCCGCUGAGCAGAGUCAUCUUGCAGGUCCGUCGUUAUGGUCGACGGAAAAUUCUGCAUAACGUUUUGGUCUGCAGCAAGGCAGUUUUUAUGGUGCAGUAUGAUGUACCAUGAUGAAAGUACUCAUCCAGAAGUAAUAGCCCAACCAUGUCAUCAGCCAGAACUUUAUCCAUCCCAUGAUUCCAGCCUUGUAAAUAAUUGAUGGCCAUUCAAACACGAGUUGCACUUAUCUUCACUCUCUUUAUUUCAUUUGGUAUGAACUUCGCCAACCGAACUGAACGACGAACCAAUGAGCUAUAAAUGUCGAGCAUCGAAAUAGACCGAAUCCAUUUAUUAUUGAUUUCCUCAAAAGUGGAUUUGACUCAAACGCAUCUUUCCAAACAGGCUGCCAAGCAGUAUCUUCUUUCAACAUGUUUGUUUGUGCAUGAUGCUUUUGUUAUUGGCUUGUGCAGGUUGUGUAUCAUAGGCCUGUCCGAACUUGAUGCUUGGAUUUUGGAGAUUUGAGUGUCGCUGUUUUGAACUGGAGUUGUUGCCGUCUGCAGCUGGUGUAGCUGGUGUGCGUGAAUAUCGGCUUAAAGCUUGGGUUUGAAUUGAGAAAGGGAUUAUGGACCUAUUAUGACAAUAAGCUAGCAAUUUUAGCAAAGCUCAAUGGGUUGUUAUUGAAUUUGUUAUUGACUUAUGAAAUGUUUGUCAACAAUUUCAGGAUUUGAGUUGUAUGAAUAAUGUAGGAAUGGAUUAUUUGAUUGUAAAUUGGUUAUCUAAAAAUUGGAAUAAUUAAUUUAAAAUAAAA